CGAGUGGCGGACGGGUGAGUAACGCGUGGGAAUCUGCCUACUAGCGGGGGAUAGCCCGGAGAAAUCCGGAUUAAUACCGCAUACGCCCUACGGGGGAAAGCUGGGGAUCUUCGGACCUGGCACUAGUAGAUGAGCCCGCGUUGGAUUAGCUUGUUGGUGGGGUAACGGCCUACCAAGGCAACGAUCCAUAGCUGUUCUGAGAGGAAGAUCAGCCACACUGGGACUGAGACACGGCCCAG
rnacentral:rRNA from 1 species